rnacentral:rRNA from 1 species
UACGGGGGGGGGCAAGCGUUGUUCGGAAUUACUGGGCGUAAAGGGCGCGUAGGCGGCCUGUUAAGUCGAACGUGAAAUCCCCGGGCUCAACCCGGGAACUGCGUCCGAUACUGGCAGGCUUGAAUCCGGGAGAGGGAUGUGGAAUUCCAGGUGUAGCGGUGAAAUGCGUAGAUAUCUGGAGGAACACCGGUGGCGAAGGCGGCAUCCUGGACCGGUAUUGACGCUGAGGCGCGAAAGCCAGGGGGAGCAAAACGGGG